rnacentral:rRNA from 1 species
CCUACGGGAGGCAGCAGUGGGGGAUAUUGCACAAUGGGGGAAACCCUGAUGCAGCGACGCCGCGUGGGCGAAGAAGUAUUUCGGUAUGUAAAGCCCUAUCAGCAGGGAAGAAAAUGACGGUACCUAAGUAAGAAGCCCCGGCUAACUACGUGCCAGCAGCCGCGGUAAUACGUAGGGGGCAAGCGUUAUGCGGAUUUACUGGGUGUAAAGGGGGCGUAGACGGCAGUGCAAGACUGGAGUGAAAGGCGGGGGCUCAACCCCCGGACUGCUCUGGAAACUGUACGGCUGGAGUGCAGGAGAGGUAAGUGGAAUUCCUAGUGUAGCGGUGAAAUGCGUAGAUAUUAGGAGGAACACCAGUGGCGAAGGCGGCUUACUGGACUGUAACUGACGUUGAGGCUCGAAAGCGUGGGGAGCAAACAGGAUUAGAUACCCUUGUAGUC